GACGAACGCUGGCGGCGUGCUUAACACAUGCAAGUCGAACGGAAAGGCCCUGCUUUUGUGGGGUGCUCGAGUGGCGAACGGGUGAGUAACACGUGAGUAACCUGCCCUUGACUUUGGGAUAACUUCAGGAAACUGGGGCUAAUGCCGGAUAGGAGCUCCUGCUGCAUGGUGGGGGUUGGAAAGUUUCGGCGGUUGGGGAUGGACUCGCGGCUUAUCAGCUUGUUGGUGGGGUAGUGGCUUACCAAGGCUUUGACGGGUAGCCGGCCUGAGAGGGUGACCGGCCACUUUGGGACUGAGAUACGGCCCAGACUCCUACGGGAGGCAGCAGUGGGGAAUAUUGCACAAUGGGCGGAAGCCUGAUGCAGCAACGCCGCGUGCGGGAUGACGGCCUUCGGGUUGUAAACCGCUUUCGCCUGUGACGAAGCGUGAGUGACGGUAAUGGGUAAAGAAGCACCGGCUAACUACGUG
rnacentral:rRNA from 1 species